AGGGGUCUGGAGGAGAUGCAAAUGGAAGGAUCUCAGGGCCUCAGUACCAGGUGGGUCAGGCUCUCCUCUCACACCAGCACCUCCUCUCUUCCAGUCACAACCACGGCCCCAUCAGUUUACCCUCUGGCCCCCAGCUGCAAGGAGAGGCUUAACACCAUGGUGGCCCUGGCAUGCCUGGUCAAAGGCUACUUCCCCAAGCCCAUAUCAGUGCAGUGGAACUCGGGGGCCUUGACCAGCAGUGUCCGAACCUUCCCGAGUAUCCUGCUUUCCUCGGGCUUCUACUCUAGUAGCAGCCUCGUGAGUGUGCCUGGCAGCACUGUAAAGAGCAAGACUUACACCUCCAAUGUACACUACCCAGCCAGCAGCACCAAGUUGGACAAGAGCGCUAAGAACAUGGACAGGCAGCAUGGGCCCUCACCCAUAGACACUCUACCACCACCCCCACCUUGCCCAGUCCCUGGAGGACCAUCCAUUUUCAUCUUCCCCCCAAAGCCCAAGGACACCCUCAUGAUCUCCCGCACUCCUGAGGUCACGUGCCUGGUUGUGGACGUGAGCCAAGAGGAACCCAAGGUGACAUUCAACUGGUACGUGGAUGGUGUGGAGAUGCACACGGCCAAGAUGGGGGAGCAGCAGGAGCAACUCAAUAGCACCUACCGCGUGGUCAGCGUGCUACCCAUCCUGCACCAGGACUGGCUGAAGGGGAAGGUCUUCAAGUGCAAGGUCAACAACAAAGCCCUCCCAUCUCCCGUAGAGCAGAGCAUCUCCAAAGCCCCGGGGCAGCCCCGGGAGCCGCAGGUGUACACCUUUGGCCCACACUCAGAGGAGCUGUCCAAACAAGAACUCAGCCUCACCUGCCUGGUGAAGGGCUUCUAUCCCAAUGAAAUUGAUGUCACAUGGCAGAGCAAUGGGCAGCCGUUGCCUGAGAGAAGCUUUGUGUCCACCCCGCCCCACGAGGAGGAUGACGGAACCUUCUUCCUCUACAGCAAGUUAACCAUAGACCACAGCAAGUGGCCAGGAAGCAGUGUGUACUCCUGUGUCGUGAUGCACGAGGCCCUGCACAACCACUACACACAGAAGACCGUCUCCCAGUCUCCCGGUAAAUGAGUGUGACCAGUGAGCACCCCUCCCCAGCCCCCCUGUAAAUACCUCCCAGGCACCCCAGCAUGGAAAUAAAGCACCCAGCACAGCCCUGGGAUUCUGCGAGA